AGCCCUUCGGGGUGGAUUAGUGGCGAACGGGUGAGUAACACGUGGGCAAUCUGCCCUUCACUCUGGGACAAGCCCUGGAAACGGGGUCUAAUACCGGAUAUGAUCACCGGCCGCAUGGUCUGGUGAUGGAAAGCUCCGGCGGUGAAGGAUGAGCCCGCGGCCUAUCAGCUUGUUGGUGGGGUGAUGGCCUACCAAGGCGACGACGGGUAGCCGGCCUGAGAGGGCGACCGGCCACACUGGGACUGAGACACGGCCCAGACUCCUACGGGAGGCAGCAGUGGGGAAUAUUGCACAAUGGGCGAAAGCCUGAUGCAGCGACGCCGCGUGAGGGAUGACGGCCUUCGGGUUGUAAACCUCUUUCAGCAGGGAAGAAGCGCAAGUGACGGUACCUGCAGAAGAAGCGCCGGCUAACUACGUGCCAGCAGCCGCGGUAAUACGUAGGGCGCAAGCGUUGUCCGGAAUUAUUGGGCGUAAAGAGCUCGUAGGCGGCUUGUCGCGUCGGAUGUGAAAGCCCGGGGCUUAACCCCGGGUCUGCAUUCGAUACGGGCAGGCUAGAGUUCGGUAGGGGAGAUCGGAAUUCCUGGUGUAGCGGUGAAAUGCGCAGAUAUCAGGAGGAACACCGGUGGCGAAGGCGGAUCUCUGGGCCGAUACUGACGCUGAGGAGCGAAAGCGUGGGGAGCGAACAGGAUUAGAUACCCUG
rnacentral:rRNA from 1 species